rnacentral:rRNA from 1 species
AUACGAAGGGGGCUAGCGUUGCUCGGAAUUACUGGGCGUAAAGGGAGCGUAGGCGGACAUUUAAGUCAGGGGUGAAAUCCCGGGGCUCAACCUCGGAAUUGCCUUUGAUACUGGGUGUCUUGAGUGUGAGAGAGGUAUGUGGAACUCCGAGUGUAGAGGUGAAAUUCGUAGAUAUUCGGAAGAACACCAGUGGCGAAGGCGACAUACUGGCUCAUUACUGACGCUGAGGCUCGAAAGCGUGGGGAGCAAACAGGAUUAGAAACCCUAGUAGUCC